rnacentral:rRNA from 1 species
UAGGGAAUAUUGGUUAAUGGGCGAAAGCCUGACCCAGCAACGCCGCGUGAGUGAUGAAGGCCUUCGGGUUGUAAAACUCUUUUUAUGGGGAUGAGGAAGGACAGUACUCAUAGAAUAAGUCUCGGCUAACUACGUGCCAGCAGCCGCGGUAACACGUAGGAGACAAGCGUUAUCCGGAUUUACUGGGUGUAAAGCGCGUGCAGGCGGUUUUGUAAGUUGGAUGUGAAAGCUCCCGGCUAAACUGGGAGAGGUCGUUCAAGACUGCAAGACUAGAGGAUGUCAGAGGGGAGUGGAAUUCCGAGUGUAGCGGUAAAAUGCAUAGAUAUUCGGAAGAACACCAGUGGCGAAGGCGACUCUCUGGGGCAUAUCUGACGCUCAGACGCGAAAGCUAGGGUAGCAAACGGG